GAAGACUUGCUUGAGAAUGCUCCGAGCACCUAGCUGUGGAAGAUAGAAUAGAAAUUGCAACAACAAAAUUCUAAUUCUAAUAGAACACUAAUUAAACUCUAAUUAUACCAUAAAAAUACUAAACAAGCUUUAAUCAAAUUAAAAGAAACCUCAAAGGAAUUACAAAAAAAUAAUAAGAAAUCUCAAAGAAAUAUUAGAAUGAUCACAAAUAUAUUUUAAAUAAAUCUCAAUCCAAUCUUAAUUUAAUCCUAGUUAAAAUCCUAUUAGACUUCAAUCAAACUUAAGGCCAAAAAAUAACUAAAUAUUAAACCUUAAACAAAUCCUAAAUAAAUCUUAAUCCCUAAAUCAACUCCUAAUCAAAUCCUAAUCUUAAAUCAAAUUCUAACCAAAUCCUAAAUCCUAAAUAAAAACCUAACCAAACCCUGAAUUCUAAAUCAAAUCCUAAUCAAAUCCUACUCCUAAAUCAAAUCCUAACCAAAUCCUAAUCCUAAAUCAAAUCCUAAAUUCUAAACCAAAUCCUAAAUCCUAAACCAAAUCCUAACCAAAUCCUAAACCCUAAAUCAAAUCCUAAUCAAAUCCUAAAUUCUAAACCAAAUCCUAACUAAUCUCAAGUAAUUCCUACAAUAGAUUUAAACCUCAAUAACUUAUGAACGAACUGUUAAUUUUAACUUAAAAUUUUCAUACUUCUAAAUAAUUAAGUUGAAAACAAGUAAAAAAAAAUUUAAAAAGAUAGGAAUUACCAAAUAGACGAUAACCUCAAAAACAUAUUCAGGUAUUGACUGGCCUCCUUCUCUGACCUUGAUGCCAAUAUCCUAGAGCCAAUAUCUCUCUUUUUCACUAUUCGAUUGAUUUCAAAAUUCUUAUACACGUAGGAAAACAAGUCUAAUAUCUUCACACAUAAAUUUCACUCCAAUCCAAUUAGUAUAUUACAAGAAAUUUUAAAAACCCUCACUUGAUCUAAACUUCUACUUUCUAAGACCUUGACCUACUUAAACCUCAAUAACCAUCAAUUCAACAAUUAGAUCAAGCUAAAAUUCACAAUUCAUAUUAAGCACAAGUAUGAAUAUUAUUCUAUAAAAUUUCACCCAUAGAUCUAUUGCAAAACUCUCAAAUUAUCCAAAACGUCAAUCCUAUUUUAUUUCACAAAAACCCAAGUCAU
rnacentral:lncRNA from 1 species